AUUGAACGCUGGCGGCAGGCCUAACACCUGCAAGUCGAACGAGUGGCGGACGGUUGAGUAAUGUCUGGGAACCUGCCCGAUGGAGGGGGAUAACUACUGGAAACGGUAGCUACUACCGCGUACCAUCGGAUGUGCCCAGAUGGGAUGAGCUUGUAGGUGAGGUAACGGCUCACCUAGGCGACGCUCCCUAGCUGGUCUGAGAGGAUGACCAGCCACACUGGUACUGAGAAACGGGCGCGAAGCCUACGGGAGGCAGCAGUGGGGAAUAUUGGACAAUGGGCGCAAGCCUGAUGCAGACAUGCCGCGUGUAUGAAGAAGGCCUUCGGGUUGUAAAGUACUUUCAGCGGGGAGGCGUUACCCGCAGAAGAAGCACCGGCUAACUCCGUGACAGCAGCCGCGGUAAUAC
rnacentral:rRNA from 1 species